rnacentral:lncRNA from 1 species
CCGGCGCGCGCCGCUCCCCCGUCACGUGACUGUGACCCGGCCGGGCAGUUGGGGCGGGGGAGUCGGGCGGUGGGUCGGAGGAUGCUUGUGCCUGUGGGCUCCGCGGCCAAAUACGGCGCUGGUCGCCUCGUCUUGGAGGUGUCCUGCCAUUUAUGAUGACUCUUACCAGUGCAGUUACUUCUUGCUGUUCCUCUGCCUCCUUCUUGUCUUUUAAAGCCUGCACUGAUUCUAAGGAAGUGAAAUUGGAAGAACAUCAGAGAAGAUGAGAAAAGAAACAAACCAGUCAAAGGAAUUCUAAAAGGUCUAAUUCAAAUUUGUGAGCCGCGUUUAUUUAGAGAAAUAAAUGAACGUUGCAAGAGAUAGCUGCUAUAAGAGCUUACAGUAGGGUCAUUCACUGAUCUGGCCAGAAAUGUUAGGAAGGCUUCCUUGAGGAAGUCACACUGGAAUGGAGAUCUGAGGAUAAGAGAGGAGAAAAAGAAACAGAGGGAACUUUUGUCAGGAGGGAACUUUGGAAGCCUGAGGGACUGAAAGGAGGCCAUUGUGGCUAGAGCAUAGAAUGCUGGGAGGGAGUGCUACAGUAUGAAGCUGGAGACCAGAUUAAGCAGGACCUCACUGGCCAUGCUGAGAACCUUCAUCUUUUUCUUGAGAGCAUCUUUUUCUUGUGGAGGGGAUUUGACAUAGUCAGAUCUGUGUUUUAAAAAGAUUAUUCCAGCUGCAGUGUGGGAACGUGAACAGGGUCAGCAUUAGACCAAUUAGGACCUAUGGGUAGUGGUUAGUGUCGGUAGUGGUUCAAGUGAAUUGAGUGGGAAGAAGGAAGUGGAGACAAGUGGGAGAAAUGGAACAAUUUGGGAAGUAAAAUGGGAGAUCUUGGUGAUGGAUUUAGAUAUGGUAGAGUGGAAUGGGGACUGACGAGAGGGAGGAGUCAGAGACGAUGGGAUUUCUGGCGGGCCCAGUGCGUGGGUAGUAAAUGCUAUCGCUGGAUGUGGGGGACACUGAAAGAGAGUUGGUUUUGGAGGAAGAUGGUGUUUCAACAUUUGAACAUGUUGAGUUUAAGAUGUUUUUGUGACUUCAAGGAGAAAUGUCAAGUAAGCAGAUCUAUGGAUCUGCAGAGGAGAAGUCUGGGCUGGAGAAAAAAAAUAUUUUACAGUUUGUAAUUUGUCCUUUUCCACAAGCCUUGUCAGAUGGGAGCAGAGAGCCAGCUGAGCCACAGCGUACCUGGAUGUGUGACCAACAGAACUGUGAGUAUAAGCUUGGUCAUCCUGAGUUCCAGCCAUCAGGGAGGAGAAAGACAGCAUGGAUGAAGCUAUCCCAGGCCCAGAAGUGGCACACGUCACUUCCACUCCAUUCUGCUGAAGAGAACCUGGUUACCAUCACACUCAACAUAGGAGGCUGGGAGACAUAGUCUGAACAUGUCCCAAGAAGAAAAGGAGAAUGGAUUUGGGGGACCAGAUACCCAACUUCUGCUUCCCAUUUUGUCACACAGAAAAAUUAAGUAAAAGAAGAAAACGCAACCUCAAAGACGGGACCAUCUUUUAAAUAUUCUCACUAUAAUCUGUAUAUUAAAAAUGGAGUUCAGGGAAAACACCAUUCCUCUGAAAUUAAAUAAAUUGUGCAUUGUGUUUAAAGAAAGGGUGAAGGAGAUAUGAUUGUCAGAUGUUCAAAUCUUGAGUUGACUGCUGGGUCCAGAUUAUGGGGCUCAAAGCUAAAGUGAAUGAAAUAGUCCAAAGCAAUUCCACUGCAUCUGCCAUUGCAAG